AGAGUUUGAUCAUGGCUCAGGAUGAACGCUAGCGGGAGGCCUAACACAUGCAAGCCGAGCGGUAUUGUUUCUUCGGAAAUGAGAGAGCGGCGUACGGGUGCGGAACACGUGUGCAACCUACCUUUAUCUGGAGGAUAGCCUUUCGAAAGGAAGAUUAAUACUCCAUAAUAUAUUGAUUGGCAUCAGUUGAUAUUGAAAGCUCCGGCGGAUAAAGAUGGGCACGCGCAAGAUUAGCUAGUUGGUGAGGUAACGGCUCACCAAGGCGAUGAUCUUUAGGGGGCCUGAGAGGGUGAUCCCCACACUGGUACUGAGACACGGACCAGACUCCUACGGGAGGCAGCAGUGAGGAAUAUUGGUCAAUGGGUGCAAGCCUGAACCAGCCAUCCCGCGUGAAGGACGACUGCCCUAUGGGUUGUAAACUUCUUUUGUAUAGGGAUAAACCUACUCUCGUGAGAGUAGCUGAAGGUACUAUACGAAUAAGCACCGGCUAACUCCGUG
rnacentral:rRNA from 1 species